rnacentral:rRNA from 1 species
CAGCAGCCGCGGUAAUACCGGCGGCCCGAGUGGCGGCUACUAUUAUUGGGCCUAAAGCGUCCGUAGCCGGGCUGGGAAGUCCUCCGGGAAAUCUGGUCGCUUAACGAUCCGACUUCCGGAGGAUACUGCUGGCCUAGGGACCGGGAGAGGCCGAGGGGAUUCCCGGGGUAGGGGGGAAAUCCUAUAAUCCCGGGAGGACCACCUGUGGCGGAGGCGCUCGGCUGGAACGCGUCCGACGGUGAGGGACGAAGGCCAGGGGACCAAACCGGAUGAGAUACCCGGGUAGUCCUGGCUGUAAACGAUGCGGACUUUGUGUCGGACAAGCUAUGAGCUUGUCCGGUGCCGGAGGGAAACCGUUAAGUCCGCCGCCUGGGGAGUACGGCCGCAAGGCUGAAACUUAAAGGAAUUGGCGG